rnacentral:rRNA from 1 species
CAGUCGCCACGGGAAUACGUAGGGUCCGAGCGUUGUCCGGAAUUACUGGGCGUAAAGAGCUCGUAGGUGGUUUGUCGCGUUGUUCGUGAAGACUCACAACUCAAUUGUGGGCGUGCGGGCGAUACGGGCAGACUGGAGUACUGCAGGGGAGACUGGAAUUCCUGGUGUAGCGGUGGAAUGCGCAGAUAUCAGGAGGAACACCGGUGGCGAAGGCGGGUCUCUGGGCAGUAACUGACGCUGAGGAGCGAAAGCGUGGGGAGCGAACAGGAUUAGAUACCCCGGUAGUCCCUGUCUCUUAUAC